rnacentral:rRNA from 1 species
AUAUAACUAGGCGGAGGAAAAGAAACUAACCAGGAUUCCCUCAGUAACGGCGAGUGAAGCGGGAUGAGCUCAGAUUGAAAAGCUUCGGCAUUGUAAUCUGGAGAGGUCAAAUCAGCAAAGGCGGGAGGGUGAAGUGUGUUGGAAAACACUGCCGCAGAGGGUGAUAGCCCCGUUCAUGCCUUCUCGCUUAGCGUACGAUUGAUCUUCUACGAGUCGAGUUGUUUGGGAUUGCAGCUCUAAGUGGGUGGUAAAUUCCAUCUAAAGCUAAAUAUUGGUGGGAGACCGAUAGCGCACAAGUA